rnacentral:sRNA from 1 species
AAAAAAAAAAAAUAGAGUCAAACUAGAAGAUGCUAAUUGUUUUCUCAACAUCCAGCAUGUCUUUGGAGAAUGGGGUUCUCAUGUAGCAAACAGUUUUGUGGGUUCUCUUCCGUGUUUCCUUUCUUGGAUAACUAGGUCACAGACAGCUGGUGUUUCCCAUGUGGCAAAGGGAGCAUGCAGAGAAAUCCCCGCCUCCUCUCUCUUUGCUUUUCAAGCCCUGCUGAAUGCCUCCUAAUGAUUUCAUCUGCUCGGAGGUCUGCUGGCUUUUCCACUCUCGUAGAAGCUGGUGGCGCCGGGGGCUGAUGCAUGCUCUGACUACUGACUUGAAACAUGCUUUGAUGAAUUAGUGCAACUCGGCCAGCCAUUUACUUUAAAUUUUACCCUUGAUUCUUCCUCUAGCAAACAAUUAAGGAGCAGCAGUGGCUUCCUGCAGGGGAGACCAAUGCCUUCUGUCCUCAGCGGAAACAGCUUGGCAUUCUUCCAAUUGAUGAAUGGCAUGGACCAGGAGCACUAGUUAUCUUCAGCUUCUGAGCAUCCGAAUAAAUAAACAUACAAAUGCAUAACAUAAAAUAAAUUCAAAUUACAAAUGAGAAAACCAAUCUAGGUUACCGGCAAGUCCUAUGACUUGAUGUGGAGGCCUGGAAGUGCAUCCUUGAAUCUUGCAAUGCAGUGAGCCAAGGAGCAAUGAGAGGCCACAUGAAUAACCGGGCCAGUGACAAGACACAUGUCCUCCUCCUUGCUGGUAUACACCAGAAUGCCCCGCAUGCAGCGAAUGCUCAAAAAGUGUUGGUGGAAGUGACAGAAUUCCAUCACCAUUAAACACAACCAGUGUUGCGGUUGACAAUG